AACGAACGCUGGCGGCAGGCUUAACACAUGCAAGUCGAACGCCACCCUCGGGUGGAGUGGCAGACGGGUGAGUAACGCGUGGAAACAUACCUUUUGCUUCGGAAUAUUCCCGGGAAACUGGGAGCAAUACCGAAUGUGCCCUGAGGGGGAAAGAUUUAUCGGCAAAAGAUUGGUCCGCGUUAGAUUAGGUAGUGGGUAGGGUAAAGGCCUACCAAGCCUAAGAUCUAUAGCUGGUCUGAGAGGAUGAUCAGCCACAUUGGGACUGAGACACGGCCCAAACUCCUACGGGAGGCAGCAGUGGGGAAUAUUGGACAAUGGGCGCAAGCCUGAUCCAGCCAUGCCGCGUGAAUGAUGAAGGCCUUAGGGUUGUAAAAUUCUUUCACCGGGGACGAUAAUGACGGUACCCGGAGAAGAAGCCCCGGCUAACUUCGUGCCAGCCGCCGCUGUAA
rnacentral:rRNA from 1 species